rnacentral:lncRNA from 10 species
GAAAGUUUGUUUCAGUUGCCUACUGUACCAUUGUCAGAAAUGGAAUUUCACUACUUAAAAAAAUUCUCUCAAGUUUUCUGAAAUGUUCAGACCCAUUAUUUGAGUAUUCACCCAGCUUCGCAGUGUUUAGUUGAUAGACCUUUUUAAUCAGAGAGCAAAUGCAUUAUUGCAGCAAAAUUUAUAGUGGUUAUUAAGAUCAUUUUUAUUAAUAGAAAGAUAUAAACAAAGGUUCACAUAUAGUGUAAUGACAAAAUCAUUAACAUUUGCCUAAAUAUCUGUCUGAACUGCUGACUUUUCCACAAGAGAAAUAACUGUUCUAAUACCAUACAAUUAUAUUUCACUAAAGGACUAUGUUUGUAUCACUAAAAGACUAGUCCUAGGCAAUUACAUUUAAUAUAUCUUACUUAGAAAUUUCAUUCGUAAUGGGCAUGUAACAGGGAAUGUAAAUUGAGAGUUUAUAACUCAUCUUUGAUAGAAACUUCUUUUUUUUUCAACUGAUCAUCAGGGAUGCAUCCACUUUAUUAGACGGCAAACUAGAAAAUGCUUCCUACAGUCGCCACAUAAAAAGAAUUAUCAUCAUGCCAAACAAAUUAUCAUCGGUGCCAAUGAUGUGAGAAUUGAGCAGAAAGAGCAAUGCAACAGGUUUUCUUUUCUGGCCAUGCCAAGGUGGAAGGUGAUCUUAAUUGAAGAAAGAAUGCUCAAAGUAGGGUGGGGCAGUAGGAGACACUGAAUUCACAUAUCAUUGAAAACCAAAAUAUUAGAAGAGCUUAAGUUUUAAAGAAUGCUGGCAAAUGUUUAAGCGAUCAGCACUGCUGGUUUACUAUAAACAUAAUGGACUACACGUUGAGUACCUUGACAUAUGAGUAAAUUCAUAUAGUACAAAUCAUUCAACACACAUAUCUUGAGAACAAGUGAGAAGACAGCCAUCUGCAAACCAGAGAGAAAGUCCUCAUAAGGAACUGAAUCAAACUUCACCUUGAUCUUGGGCUUCCCAGCCUUUGCAACUGUGAGAAAUAAAUGUGUCUUUAUGCCACCUUGUCUAUGGUAUGUUAUAGCAGCCCAAGCCAACUAAUACAGGCAGGAACUGAAGAAAACAUUACUUACUAGCAGCUGCUGUGAUCAGGCCAAGGAAUGCCCAGGAUUGCCAGCAACCAUCAAAAUUUAGGAGAGAAGAAAAGGAAGCCUUCUCCUUUAGAGGCUCCAGAGGCAACCAACCUUGUUGACACCUUGAUUUUGGACUUCUGGUCUGCUGAACUGUAAGACAAUAAAUUUCUGUUGUUUUAUGUCCCCAAAUUCAUAGUAAUUAGUUAAGUUAGGCUUAGAAAACUAGUACAAUCCUGGUGGGUCUGAAAAUAGAUAUGUAAGAAGUUUACAGGGUUUAGCCUCUAUUUUAUUUUGGUUUUCAAGUACUUUGUUAUAUAAAGAAAUUUUCAACAAUGUUUUUGAAUCCUGGUAAUAAUAGGCAAUGCUUUCACUGGCCGUUCAUUAUCUGUUGCCUGAAAGACCUUCUCCUCUGCAUUUGGCUUUCUAAGUCAUUUAUGGCUUUCUGUACUUUCUUGGUUGACUCUCAUUUCCCACUUUGACCUUCUGUUACUCCUUAUACUAUUCACUCUGCCACUAUUCUUUCAACAACAAUGUUAUGCAUACAUUUUAUUUCUUUUUUCCUCUCCGAUACUCAACACGGACAGGACUUUUUAUUUUGUCUCAAAUAGCUGGCACUGGUACUUAGUAACACUUGUAAUUUCUGCCUCUGCCCAAGCACAAAAAAACAAUCCUACAGGCCGACUUUGGUAGGCUGAGUAAUUUGUUAACAAAAAAAUCAACCAGCAAAAACUAUAUAGACAUAGAUGUAGACAUAUAUGUGUGUGUGUGUGUGUGUGUGUGUGUGUGUGUCUGUGUGUAUCUCCUAUAAUAAUGGGUAAAACAGUUUUCAUAGUACGCCUGCUUUGACUUUAUUGUUGUGAGUUUUUGCUUUCAAAAGCCCAAUGAGAAAUCAGUUUCUGGGCACAGCUGCUCUGCUGUGCAAGAGAAUAAAAUAGGGGUGGCUUUAACAUAUGCUAAUCAUCAUGGUGCUGGUUCAAUUUGAGCUACAAAAUAGACAAUAUUACAAUUCUCAACUGCUCUACUAAAUAGCAGUUACUGUACACUUUAAGGUCAUGUCAAAACUGUCCUUCCUGGUGGACUGUCAUUAGAGUCCCAUCUGUAUCCAUCAGAAAUUUGUGAUUUAUGCUAUUUUAAUUAGUUUAUAAAUAAUUCAUAAAAGAACAUGCUUGCUUGCUGUGAAAUUCAUUCUUUAAAGAGAUGAAAAAAAUUAUGGAGAAAGAGGAAAAUGGUAAAUCUAAAGGUUUAGGAAUUCUGUUUUGAGGGAACUAUUUCAAUAGUGUAUUCUCAAUUUGUAUUCAACUUCGUGAUUAUGAGUAAGAGGAAUUAAUGUAGUAAUAUUUUACUGAAUUGGCUACAGAAAAAAUGAAGCUUAUUAGAGCCUGUAUCAUGUCAUCUGUGCAUUUAAACCAUUAUUUGAUCUUCUAAAGCCUGCAAAGAUUCCAAUUUAUUCAUUCUGUAUCAUAUGUGUUCAUUUUGCUCUUAAAAAUAUAGGUGUAAGGCACUGAAUGUGCUUCCAAUAUGUUUACUAUAUGGCACUCAAGAUGCCUGUAUACUAUUACCAAAAUUGUAAUAGUAAUGUAAUGAUUAAAGUCCACACUGAAGUUUCACUGUGCCAUUUUGAAUGGUCUUUUCUGUAGUGAUGAGUUAAGGUUAGAAUCAUCGCACAACAAAGAUAUCUUUGAUUCUACUGUAACUAACUGGAAUAGAGUUCAAGAUAAGCUAACAUUAAGUUGGCUGCCCGUUUUGAAUUUUUAUCAUAUAAAGCCAAUCCAGUUAAACUAAUUUCAACUCAUUCUGGUCUUAUGUCAAGGUUGAGAGUCUUUUUUUUAGGCUGAACUUUCUAGCCAGGGUCUAAAAUUCUCAAAGGCUCUAUUUUUAUAUAUGGAUAUAAUGUAAGGCAUUAAAUUAUUCAGUAUAUAUUUACCAGAUGCUUUAGGUACGUGUCUGACAUUGGGAGAGAGAGUGGGAAAUUCAAGAAUACAUGUCUUGUAAUAAGUACCACUAUUAGACUCCUAAAAAGCCUAAAUUUGGGGAUACCCAAAUCUGUG